rnacentral:misc_RNA from 1 species
GAUGAGAACGUAGCGAAAUGCGAUAAGUAAUGUGAAUUGCAGAAUUCAGUGAAUCAUCGAAUCUUUGAACGCACAUUGCCCCCAUUAGUAUUCUAGUGGGCAUGCCUGUUCGAGCGUCAUUAAGUCCACUUAAGCCCUGCUUAGUGUUGGGAGACUGCUCCAGCGGUGCUACCCUGUAGCUACCCUGCAGCUCCUCAAAGACAGCGGCGGAGUUGUGGUAUCCUCUGAGCUUAGUAACUUGUUCUAGCUUUCGAGUACACCACUUCCCCUGCCGUAAAACCCUUAAUUUUUAAUGGUUGACCUCGGAUCAGGUAGGAAUACCCGCUGAACUUAAGCAUAUCAAUAAGCGGAGGA